CUUGCCCACUUGGCUCCCUCUAGGGAAGUACUCCCAGCUGCCCACAGUCAUCCUUCUCCAUCCCACUGACCUUCCACCCGUGACCAAUCAGGAGAUGUUUCCAGUUUAUUGGUGAAUUUAUUAGGGCUCAGAGAGGAUGACCUAUCCAAGGUCCCACUGCCAACUGAAUGUAGGACAAGUCUCUGAACCCAGUGUGCCCCUGCCAGAAAGUAGCAGGGAUCACAGAAGUCCAGCAGAGGUCUGCCGCCUUGGACCCCGCCUCUUACACAUUGAGUGUGGUUUCUGCAGUGAUGGGGAAGUUCUGUCAACCCUGGCCUGCUUUGGGACACCAGUGGACCUCCCCAGAGCUGGUGGUGAAAAUUCCUGGAGGGCUUCUCUCUUCCCUGGAGACGUAAAACCAGAAGGAUUCAGAAGGAUCUGCCAAAGGAAAUCUGGACCCCAUAAACGAUCAGUACUGCCAUCUGCAACAUGAGGGAGGCCUCAGAAACAGGAACCACACGGCAAGUCACCAAACCUCUAACCCAAUCUUGGAACCUACCAAUCUUGGAACCUGCAGUGGGUCACAGAAGGGAAACCAGCCAGACGUCAGCAUGCUGCUGAGACCUCGGUCAAUGAGUCACACCUGGGCUCUUGUGAAUUACAGAAUCAAUGUUGGAAGCCCAGGAAGCCAACUAAUCAGCCUGUUAACUAUAGCUUCACUGCUGAGCCAUCUGUUCUAGACCACGUUGCUGCCUCUGCCCACCACACACUUCCCUGGAGCUGGACCUGAUCAGCCAGAAGAAGCAUCUGAAAAGGAGCAUCUCAAUUUCAGCACAGUCGACCUUAACAAAAUAACUUCAGGAAGUGCACCAGCUUGGGAACCAGGACUUCGGGGUUCCCCUGCUUCUGUCAUCAGCAGCUGCACAGGCUUAUCUGAGACUUUCUCUCUCU
rnacentral:lncRNA from 1 species